CCUCGACAAGAGGUGUAUAAUAACCAUGGAAUCAAUUUAGUUGGAGAAAUGGUUAAAGAGUUGGCAGAGUAAUUCAAUUUCUGUAAUUAUCUGGUUAGGUUCUAAUGAUACAUAAAAAUUUGAGGAAUGAUCUUGCUUGAAUAGUCGUACUCAUAACCGCAGCAGGUCUCCAAGGUUAGAAGCCUCUAGUUGGCAGAAUAAUGUAGGUAAGGGAAGUCGGCAAAAUAGAUCUGUAACUUCGGGAAAAAGAUUGGCUCUAAAGGCUGAGUAUAUGGGCUAUAUUGUGAAGUUAUUGGAGAUUAGGUCGUUACGAUUGGCUGUCAUGGUUAGUUGUGAAGGUCCAGUCAAAGAUGAUGGAGUGGUAUAGGCAACUGUCAAAGGUUGUGCUGUAUACAAUUAACAGCUAAUUUAGAACUGUUACUGACCAGGGGAAUCCGACUGUUUAAUUAAAACAAAGCAUUGUGAUGUUCUCAAUAAGGAUUAUAACACAAUGUGAUUUCUGCCCAGU
rnacentral:rRNA from 1 species